ACGGGGCCCGCACAAGCGGAGGAGCAUGUGGUUAAUUCGAUGAUACGCGAGGAACCUUACCUGGGCUUGACAUCUGCGGAAUUUCUAUGAAAGUAGGAAGUGCCCUUCGGGGAGCCGCAAGACAGGUGCUGCAUGGCUGUCGUCAGCUCGUGUCGUGAGAUGUUGGGUUAAGUCCCGCAACGAGCGCAACCCUUAUCUUUAGUUACCAUCAUUCAGUUGGGGACUCUAAAGAUACUGCCCCGGUCAACGGGGAGGAAGGUGGGGAUGACGUCAAGUCCUCAUGGCCCUUAUGUCCAGGGCUACACACGUGCUACAAUGGGCAGUACAAAGGGUAGCAAGCCUGCGAAGGUGAGCCAAUCUCAAAAAGCUGUUCGUAGUUCGGAUUGGAGUCUGCAACUCGACUCCAUGAAGCUGGAAUCGCUAGUAAUCGCGGAUCAGCAUGCCGCGGUGAAUACGCUCCCGGGCCUU
rnacentral:rRNA from 1 species